CCCGUGUCCCAACGGUAUUAGAAAUAACCCGAAGCUCCGAUGACGAUUUUACUCAUUCGCGAGUUCGGUUUCAGCUGGUGCGUGUCGUGGUGGUCGCGCGUGGUCCGCAAGUGAACUCGAUCGGAACGUAUUGCAAGCUUCGUCAUGGAAGUCGUCAAGGCAAACGAUUCCAGCAGUCUCGUUGAGCAGUCGUUGAACGUAAGCGCGGCAACGAAAUCUGUCUCGACGUCGAAAUCCGUGCAGAGUGUCCAGACGAAGUCUGUCGUGGAGUCGUCAACGUCGAUCAAAUCCGUUUCUUCCUCGUCAUCUAGAUCCCAUCAGUCAAUGGAAUACGAAGAAACGGUCGAAUAUAGCGAUUAAACGCAGUUAGAAUAACGUGAAUUCUUCCAACAAAAAAAAAUAAAAGACAUCAAGCAAGAAGAGGCUUCAAGAACGUAACAAGAAUUUUCGCUCGAUAUUUCGUCGUGAUUCAUCCGUAAUCGUCAAAAUCAGUCAUCUUUCGAUUCAACCGUCCUUGUUUUCCUUGUGAAAAAAAAAACCACGUACUUGAAUCUAUAAAUUACAUACGCAUGAAAAAUAAUAUUCAAAUCAACGCAAAAUCAACAGAAAUUUCUCCGAGCUUUUCUCCGAUUUGACCUCGAGAGAAUCACGAGGUUGAUGAUCGCGAGGGAAGAUCGAAUUGACGGGUCAAGGCGUCUAUUCGUCAGAGAGUUGCACACACCGAAAUAACUAUUCGCCGCGCCGCCAUUACGCACAGUUGCAAUGAUUCGACGAAAUGAAAUACGACGAGUUCGAAGAGACAGACGGUGAGAGAAAGAAAUUGAAAAAACGUGCAAGCGAAGAAACGCUCGGAUGUAUCUGGCCCUCGUCCAACCGACGUGGUUUGCCGCCAAAUAGCGAUUCGUCUCUCUUUUUUUUUUUUUAUUUGACAAUUGUUCUCCCAACUUACGUUGACGUUACGUCCUUUACCUUUAGAGUUAUGCGGAUUGCUUUUGUCGCGUCUCGCCACGUGACGUCAUUUUAUUCCCAUUAUUAUCUUUGUAUAAUAAAAUGUUUCUGAAAUUUU